UAGCGAAGGGGGCAAGCGUUGUUCGGAAUUACUGGGCGUAAAGGGCGCGUAGGCGGCUUAUCAAGUCAGGCGUGAAAUUCCCGGGCUCAACCUGGGGGCUGCGCUUGAUACUGAUUGGCUUGAAUGCGGGAGAGGAUAGUGGAAUUCCCAGUGUAGAGGUGAAAUUCGUAGAUAUUGGGAAGAACACCGGUGGCGAAGGCGGCUAUCUGGCCCGUAAUUGACGCUGAGGCGCGAAAGCGUGGGGAGCAAACAGG
rnacentral:rRNA from 1 species